UACGUAGGGGGCUAGCGUUGUCCGGAAUCAUUGGGCGUAAAGCGCGUGUAGGCGGUCCGGUAAGUCCGCUGUGAAAGUCGGGGGCUCAACCCUCGAAUGCCGGUGGAUACUGUCGGGCUAGAGUGCGGAAGAGGCGAGUGGAAUUCCUGGUGUAGCGGUGAAAUGCGCAGAUAUCAGGAGGAACACCUAUUGCGAAGGCAGCUCGCUGGGACGUUAACUGACGCUGAGACGCGAAAGCGUGGGGAGCAAACAGG
rnacentral:rRNA from 1 species